rnacentral:tRNA from 1 species
GGUGUAGCGCAGCUUGGUAGCGCAUCUGUUUUGGGAACAGAAGGUCAUAGGUUCAAAUCCUAUCACC